UCAUAAUAUAACAACAUUCCCUUGAUUCAUCUCUUAGUUACGAUUUUCAAAAUCCAAUUGUGUGUCCAAUUUUCGAUCAACCACAAAGCUAACGGAAAAAAAAGAUGAGGAUGCUUUUCUCUCAAGUGUUUCGAUUAUUAUGCUUAAUCCUCCUCUUAUCUCAAGUCGCUGGCAGUAGGGGCAGAAUUGCAGAUAAGCCAAGACCACAACCACCAGGUCAUGUAAAAAGGCAGCCUUCACCACAUCCUUGAAAACAAAAAUGGCGCAUGAACUAUCAACGAUUAAGAAGAAUUAAAUUUAAAUUCCAGGGGGUUUACAGACAUACGAUGGACAUGCUUGACGGAUUGACUUGCUGCUUCUUAUUCUACAGUUCCCCCUGCUUUUUUAUUUUCGCUUAUAACAUCAUUGUGCGUUGUGUUAGUAAAUUUUUGUAAACCAAAAAAAUAAUAUUAAUCAUGGUUCAAGUAUGAAUUAGAUUAUAAAGUGGAACCAGUAGCACAUUCUAAGCAGUGCUCUACUGCUCUGAUAUACAAGCGUCCUUAUGCCCGUCUUAAUUAGUUGAGAAAUGUAUUUUGAAUGCACCACUCGUUCAACAUGUCUUCUGCACUUCGUUGUUCUA